rnacentral:rRNA from 1 species
UACGAAGGGGGCUAGCGUUGCUCGGAAUUACUGGGCGUAAAGGGCGCGUAGGCGGCCAUCUAAGUCAGACGUGAAAUCCCUCGGCUCAACCGAGGAACUGCGUCUGAUACUGGAAGGCUUGAAUCCGGGAGAGGGAUGUGGAAUUCCAGGUGUAGCGGUGAAAUGCGUAGAUAUCAGGAGGAACACCGGUGGCGAGGGCGGCAUCCUGGACCGACAUUGACGCUGAGGAGCGAAAGCCAGGGGAGCAAACGGG